AGUUUGAUCCUGGCUCAGGACGAAUGCUGGCGGUGCGCCUAAUGCAUGCAAGUCGAGCGAAGCUUCAUGAUAGUUUACUAUUUUGAAUGACUGAGCGGCGAACGGGUGAGUAACGCGUGAACAAUCUGCCCCAAUUAUCAGGACAGCUCAAGGAAACUUGAAUUAAUACUGAAUAUACUUUUAAAUUCACAUGAAUUAUAAAGAAAAGGUCAGCCGAAUUGGGAUGAGUUCGCGUUCUAUCAGCUAGUUGGUGAGGUAAAAGCUCACCAAGGCUACGACGGAUAGCUGGUCUGAGAGGACGAUCAGCCACACUGGGACUGAGACACGGCCCAGACUCCUACGGGAGGCUGCAGCAGGGAAUCUUGCGCAAUGAGCGAAAGCUUGACGCAGCGACACCGCGUGUGGGAUGACGGAUCUAGGUUUGUAAACCACUUUCAGGAGGGAAGAAAAUGACGGUACCUCCACAAGAAGCCCCGGCCAACUACGUGCCAGCAGCCGCGGUAAUACGUAGGGGGCGAGCAUUGUCCGGAAUUAUUGGGCGUAAAGAGCUCGUAGGCGGUUCGACAAGUCGUUCGUGAAAGUUUAGAGCUUAACUCUAAAAUGUCGAUCGAUACUGUCGUGACUAGAAUACGGUAGAGGUAAGUGGAAUUCAAAGUGUAGCGGUGAAAUGCGUAGAUAUUUUGAGGAACACCAAUUGCGAAGGCAGCUUACUGGGCCGCUAUUGACGCUGAGGAGCGAAAGCUAGGGGAGCAAACAGGAUUAGAUACCCUGGUAGUCCUAGCUGUAAACGAUGGAUACUAGAUGUGGGAACUGGAUUGACGGUUUCUGUAUCGUAGCUAACGCGUUAAGUAUCCCGCCUGGGGAGUACGGCCGCAAGGCUAAAACUCAAAGGAAUUGACGGGACCCCGCACAAGCGGCGGAGCAUGCGGCUUAAUUCGAUGAUACCCGUAGAACCUUACCUGGACUUGACAUAUAGGGUCAAGCCAUAGAAAUAUGGUGUGCAUUAGCGCUCUAUACAGGUGGUGCAUGGCUGUCGUCAGCUCGUGUCGUGAGAUGUUCGGUUAAGUCCGAUAACGAGCGCAACCCCUAUUUUUAGUUGCCAGCACGUAAUGGUGGGGACUCUAGAAAAACUGCCCGGGUUAACCGGAAGGAAGGUGGGGUCGACGUCAAGUCAGUAUGUCCCUUACGUUCAGGGCUACACACGUAAUACAAUGGAAAAUACAAUGGGUCGCAAAAUCGCGAGAUGAAGCUAAUCUCAAAAAAUUUUUCCAAGUUCGGAUUGUAGUCUGCAACUCGACUACAUGAAGUCGGAAUCGCUAGUAAUCGCUCAUCAGCAUGGAGCGGUGAAUACGUUCCCGGGUCUUGUACACACCGCCCGUCACGCCAUGGAAGCCGGUAGUACCCAAAGCCAGUGUCCCAACUUUCGAGAGGGAGCUGUUUAAGGUAAGAUUGGUAACUAGGGCGAAGUCGUAACAAGGUAACC
rnacentral:rRNA from 1 species